rnacentral:lncRNA from 1 species
UCCUCUUUGCUGCUAGGGUCCUUGUCUAGACAUAUGGCUGUAGGUCUUCUUCAUGAAUGAGUAGGUGCCACCAGUUGCUAAUCUGUCUAUAAUCAUGUUGAUGACCCCAAUAGUAGAUCAGUUGUCAAGCAGUAGCUCGAGGGUGGGCUAUUCCUGACUAGAGGUAUCCUUAUCUUAUGGGUGGCAGAGUAAGCACUGAGGAAGACUUGCUUGAUGAGUGCUUCAAUCUUUCUCUUUGGCUAGUAGCAGUCCUCAGUAUCAUACCCAUAGUCAUGAUGGAACUCACAAUACUUCUUCAUGUCUCUAUAGGCAUUUGGCUUCAUCUUCCUCGGCCACUUGAUGAUCUCCCAUUUCUUGAUCUGUAUUAGAAUUUAUCCUCGAGAGGUAUUGAGAGGUGUACGACUCUCUAGCCUCUAAAGACUUCUCGAUCACCAAGAGCUUCCCCCAUAUC